rnacentral:lncRNA from 1 species
GCUAGGCAGGGCUCUUGUCUCCAGAGGCUGAGUAGGAGGACCCUGGCCUCCUGACCUCUCCCCGCAGCAGGCUGAGUGCACUUCAUCCCCUGCUUCCUGGUUCAUUCUGUGGCUCAGAGGCCAGGUAAGUGGCUCUGGAAGAGGAAGUCCCAGGAGUGAUAAGGAGGAUGUUGCUUGGAGGUCUUUCUCUCCCAGAAGAAUCACAACACAGGCUGCUUACAAGGAACUGGACAUCUUACCCUCCCGGAAAACCAGGAGGUAAGGAGCUUAGUCCUAUCUUCCCAGAUGUACUCAGGUCAGUUGAGGAGACACUCCCUCUGGGAGAAGAAGGAGGGCAGUGGUGUUGGUCUGUCCAGGUGUUUGGAGAAAGUGAUGGCCACUCUCAGGCUGAAAGCACCUCCUCGCACACAGGUCUUUGAUGUCAAUAUGUGAGCAAGUGUGAGCACAUGCCCAGGAUGCACAGUUGGUGAGAAGUGACCACUAUGGCCAUUGUGUUUGUUUCUUUCCCUCUACCUGCUAUGGGAAGGAAUGUAGGGAGGUGAGGCCGCUCAGACCUGGAGGGCAUGGUAAGGGCUAUUUCAACUGUUAAUUUUUCCAUUGAUUCUGUGUGUGAUUCUUUAUGGGAGCUAGGAAGAGCCUGAGACAGAAGAUGCAAGAGGGGAGGACCUUGGAGCAUCUGGGGGAUGGCAGGCCUUGCUGUCUUUGCCACAGGAAGUGCACCGUCCCUCCCUGGGUUUGGAAUGGACAAGAGCCUGCUGUCCUCACCUGGAGGAGUCUUCCUACUGCAUAGCAGGUUGGAGCUCUUUAUGCAUUUUUCCUGCAAUUUCAGCAGCUCUCCACCGCUUCAACCCAGCCUCAUGGAAAUUUGGCUGUGACCUGCGGACAGGAGAUGGCUUUUCUCCGUCUCUUCCCACACCUAGUCAUGCCCCACACGUGUUUACUGCCCAUCCACCUGUGGCCAGAUUUGGUGAGCUCCCUGCCUUCUCCAGGUUUAGCCGACCUGCUUGGGUUGUGCAGCUGCUAUCUGGCAGCCCAGGGACUCUGACCAAGCCCCUGUCCCUAGGGUCUGCGUUCUCAGAAACAACUCUGCUUCCUCUCUGUAGGAGACUUGGCACAGGAGAGGGAGAUGCAGAGGCUGGACCUAUCAGGCCAGGGAGCUACCUUCUGGAGACUUCAAUCAGAAGGGGUAGGGAGUUUUCAACUCUAGAUUUCCAAAAGUGUUCUGCUUGGGUCCCUUUGGUGACCACGGGGACUUGAAAACCCUCAUCAGUCCUGGGGGAUGUUCUGGUUUCUCCAAAGAACUGUGAAGGUCAUUGGGUACCACAAAAUAUUUGUCAUCAGGACCAAAAGGCCUCAAAAGCUCAGUGUGACUGUUGUGUGUCCGCCAGGUUCAGUGGAAACAUGGCUCCUCUCAGCCUCUUUGCUGAUUCUGGUUUGAAGGUAUUUAAUUCCUCCCUCUCUCCAGGUACGGUUUACAAACAGGCACGGAGAACCCAGCAGCAAGAAGUUUUCCCUGAUACUAUUUUUGGGUGCAGGCACAGGACUGGGGAUGGAACCCAGCGAUGCUUUACCUCUGAUCUACAUUCCUCGUCCUUUUCACUUUUUAUGGAGACAGGGUCUUGCUAAGUUGCUAAGGCUGGUCUGGAACUUGCAAUCUGCCUUCUUCAGCCUCCUGAGAAGCUGAGAUUACAGGCGUGUGUCACCAAGCCCAUCGGGAGGUUGGCUCUGAAAGCCAUAAAGGGCUGUUGAUCCUCAGGGAGUUGGGACGCAGGUGAGAGCAUGAAAACUUGGAUGAACAGCUUCCCUUUCUACAGACACAGACGGUCAGUCUUCAUAAAGUAAUAAGAACACAUGUCAUUUUGUGCUACUAAUAAAUGCCUCAUUUGUCCACCAUGGCUAAUAUUUAGGAAUUCUUAUUACUUAGUCUGGGGACUACACUCUGGACAUUUCUGGUGUCCUUCAUUUUGUGCCUUGAGGAAGAGUUUCCCUCUGAGUUGAUACUCUGACUACUACUGCUGCACACACACACACACAUACAGAGAGAGAGAGAGAGAGAGAGAGAGAGAGAGAGAGAGAGAGGGAGAGGGAGAGAUUGAUUUUGUUGUAGUUGUUGCUCUGUGGUGGGGGGGAUCAAACCCAGGGCCUUGUAGGUGCCAGGCCUCACUCUGCCACAGCUACUCUGUGCUGGUGCACUUAUUUAUAAAAUUUCUAGGUCUUGAUUAUCCCCACAGGCUUUACUUGCAUGUUUGCUGUGACAACGGAUGGUCCUACCAGCAGGAGGCAAGGAACACAGGUGAGUCUGUCUACAGGUUGCAAAAGGUCC